rnacentral:rRNA from 1 species
GGUUAAGUUAGAAAGGGCGCACGGUGGAUGCCUUGGCACUAGGAGCCGAUGAAGGACGGGACGAACACCGAUAUGCUUCGGGGAGCUGUAAGCAAGCUUUGAUCCGGAGAUUUCCGAAUGGGGAAAACCCACCACUCGUAAUGGAGUGGUAUCCAUAUCUGAAUACAUAGGAUAUGAGAAGGCAGACCGGGGAACUGAAACAUCUAAGUACCGGAGGAAGAGAAAGCAAAUGCGAUUCCCUGAGUAGCGGCGAGCGAAACGGGACCAGCCCAAACCAAGAGGCUUGCCUCUUGGGGUUGUGAGGACACUCUGUACGGAGUUACAAAGGAACGAGGUAGAUGAAGAGGUCUGGAAAGGCCGCCAUAGAAGGUAACAGCCCUGUAGUCAAAACUUCGUUCUCUCCUGAGUGGAUCCUGAGUACGGCGGAACACGUGAAAUUCCGUCGGAAUCCGGGAGGACCAUCUCCCAAGGCUAAAUACUCCCUAGUGACCGAUAGUGAACCAGUACCGUGAGGGAAAGGUGAAAAGCACCCGGAAGGGGAGUGAAAGAGAUCCUGAAACCGUGUGCCUACAAGUAGUCAGAGCCCGUUAACGGGUGAUGGCGUUGCCUUUUGUAGAAUGAACCGGCGAGUUACGAUCCCGUGCAAGGUUAAGCAGAAGAUGCGGAGCCGCAGCGAAAGCGAGUCUGAAUAGGGCGAAUUGAGUACGUGGUCGUAGACCCGAAACCAGGUGAUUACCCAUGUCCAGGGUGAAGUUCAGGUAACACUGAAUGGAGGCCCGAACCCACGCACGUUGAAAAGUGCGGGGAUGAGGUGUGGGUAGGGGUGAAAUGCCAAUCGAACCUGGAGAUAGCUGGUUCUCUCCGAAAUAGCUUUAGGGCUAGCCUCAAGGUAAGAGUCUCGGAGGUAGAGCACUGAUUGGACUAGGGGCCCCUACCGGGUUACCGAAUUCAGUCAAACUCCGAAUGCGAUGAACUUAUCCUUGGGAGUCAGACUGCGAGUGAUAAGAUCCGUAGUCGAAAGGGAAACAGCCCAGACCGCCAGCUAAGGUCCCAAAGUAUACGUUAAGUGGAAAAGGAUGUGGAGUUGCUUAGACAACCAGGAUGUUGGCUUAGAAGCAGCCACCAUUUAAAGAGUGCGUAAUAGCUCAUGGUCGAGUGACUCUGCGCCGAAAAUGUACCGGGCUAAACGUAUCACGAAGCUGCGGACUGUUCUUCGAACAGUGGUAGGAGAGCGUUCUAAGGGCUGUGAAGCAAGACCGGAAGGACUUGUGGAGCGCUUAGAAGUGAGAAUGCGGUAUGAGUAGCGAAAGAGGGGUGAGAAUCCCUCCACGAAUGCUAAGGUUUCCUGAGGAAGGCUCGUCCGCUCAGGGUUAGUCGGGACCUAAGCGAGGCCGAAAGGCGUAGGCGAUGGAUAACAGGUUGAUAUUCCUGUACCACCUCCUCACCAUUUGAGCAAUGGGGGGACGCAGGAGGAUAGGGUAAGCGCGGUAUUGGAUAUCCGGUCCAAGCAGUUAGGCUGGGAAAUAGGCAAAUCCGUUUCCCGUGAAGGCUGAGCUGUGAUGGCGAGCGAAUUAUAGUAGCGAAGUUCCUGAUUCCACACUGCCAAGAAAAGCCUCUAGCGAGGUGAGAGGUGCCCGUACCGCAAACCGACACAGGUAGGCGAGGAGGAAUCCUAAGGUGAUCGAGAGAACUCUCGUUAAGGAACUCGGCAAAAUGACCCCGUAACUUCGGGAGAAGGGGGUGCUCUGUUAGGGUGCAAGCCCGAGAGAGCCGCAGUGAAUAGGCCCAGGCGACUGUUUAGCAAAAACACAGGUCUCUGCGAAGCCGUAAGGCGAAGUAUAGGGGCUGACGCCUGCCCGGUGCUGGAAGGUUAAGAGGAGCGCUUAGCGUAAGCGAAGGUGCGAAUUGAAGCCCAGUAAACGGCGGCCGUAACUAUAACGGUCCUAAGGUAGCGAAAUUCCUUGUCGGGUAAGUUCCGACCCGCACGAAAAGGCGCAACGAUCUGGGCACUGUCUCAACGAGAGAUCGGGUGAAAUUAUAGUACCUGUGAAGAUGCAGGUUACCCGCGACAGGACGGAAAGACCCGUGGAGCUUUACUGCAGCCUGAUAUUGAAUGUUGGUACAGCUUGUACAGGAUAGGUAGGAGCCUUGGAAACCGGAGCGCCAGCUUCGGUGGAGGCAUCGGUGGGAUACUACCCUGGCUGUAUUGACCUUCUAACCCGCCGCCCUUAUCGGGCGGGGAGACAGUGUCAGGUGGGCAGUUUGACUGGGGCGGUCGCCUCCUAAAAGGUAACGGAGGCGCCCAAAGGUUCCUCAGAAUGGUUGGAAAUCAUUCGCAGAGUGUAAAGGCACAAGGGAGCUUGACUGCGAGACCUACAGUCGAGCAGGGACGAAAGUCGGGCUUAUGAUCCGGUGGUUCCGCAUGGAAGGGCCAUCGCUCAACGGAUAAAAGCUACCCGGGGAUAUAACAGGCUUAUCUCCCCCAAGAGUCCACAUCGACGGGGAGGUUUGGCACCUCGAUGUCGGCUCAUCGCAUCCUGGGGCUGUAGUCGGUCCCAAGGGUUGGGCUGUUCGCCAUUAAAGCGGUACGCGAGCUGGGUUCAGAACGUCGUGAGACAGUUCGGUCCUAUCCGUCGCGGGCGCAGGAAAUUUGAGAGGAGCUGUCCUUAGUACGAGAGGACCGGGAUGGACGCACCGCUGGUGUUACCAGUUGUUCUGCCAAGGGCAUCGCUGGGUAGCUAUGUGCGGACGGGAUAAGUGCUGAAAGCAUCUAAGCAUGAAGCCCCCCUCAAGAUGAGAUUUCCCAUUCCGCAAGGAAGUAAGAUCCCUGAAAGAUGAUCAGGUUGAUAGGUCUGAGGUGGAAGUGUGGCGACACAUGGAGCUGACAGAUACUAAUCGAUCGAGGACUUAACCAA